rnacentral:rRNA from 1 species
CCUACGGGUGGCAGCAGUGGGGGAUAUUGCACAAUGGGGGAAACCCUGAUGCAGCGACGCCGCGUGAGGGAAGAAGGUUUUCGGAUUGUAAACCUCUGUCUUGUGGGACGAUAAUGACGGUACCACAGGAGGAAGCCACGGCUAACUACGUGCCAGCAGCCGCGGUAAUACGUAGGUGGCAAGCGUUGUCCGGAAUUACUGGGUGUAAAGGGAGCGUAGGCGGGAAUGCAAGUUGAAUGUUUAACCUAUCGGCUCAACCGAUAGUCGCGUUCAAAACUGUAUUUCUUGAGUGAAGUAGAGGCAAGCGGAAUUCCUAGUGUAGCGGUGAAAUGCGUAGAUAUUAGGAGGAACACCAGUGGCGAAGGCGGCUUGCUGGGCUUUUACUGACGCUGAGGCUCGAAAGCGUGGGUAGCAAACAGGAUUAGAUACCCUAGUAGUC